rnacentral:rRNA from 1 species
AAACUAACAAGGAUUCCCCUAGUAACUGCGAGUGAACCGGGAAAAGCUCAAAUUUAAAAUCUGGCAGCCUUGGCUGUCCGAGUUGUAAUCUGGAGAAGCGUCUUCCGCGCUGGACCGUGUACAAGUCUCCUGGAACGGAGCGUCAUAGAGGGUGAGAAUCCCGUCUUUGACACGGACUACCAGUGCUCUGUGAUGCGCUCUCAAAGAGUCGAGUUGUUUGGGAAUGCAGCUCAAAAUGGGUGGUAAACUCCAUCUAAAGCUAAAUAUUGGCGAGAGACCGAUAGCGAACAAGUACCGUGAGGGAAAGAUGAAAAGCACUUUGGAAAGAGAGUUAAACAGUACGUGAAAUUGCUGAAAGGGAAACGCUUGAAGUCAGUCGCGUUUGCUAGGACUCAGCCUUGCCUCGGCUUGGUGCAUUUCCUAGUAGACGGGCCAGCAUCACUUUUGACUGCGGGAGAAAGGUUGGAGGAAUGUGGCACCCUCAGGGUGUGUUAUAGCCUCUAGCUGUAUGCCGUGGUUGGGAGUGAGGAACUCAGCACGCCGCANGGCGGGGCUUCGGCCACCUUCGUGCUUAGGAUGCUGGCGUAAUGGCUUUAAACGACC